ACCACUUCCCACUGAGUCUGGGCAGGCAUGCAGGAGUCACAGUGCGCCAGAGACUCUGUGGACUGUGGGAACGUGUUUGGGACGCUGUAACUGAAGCACUGGCCCAGGCAAGCUCUGUAACAAGGAAGAGAGAGAGUGUGAUCGCCACCGUGCCUCAGGCCUGUCUCUGUGAUGGACUGGCACUCUGUCUAGGGUAUCCCCGCCAGAUUGCCCAUUGACCGCUGGAGAUAGGCACCAGCCCCCCCACGACCCUACGUGGACAAAGCGGGUUCAGACAAUGGAUGGAUGGAUUAUCCAAGCUGUUAAGGCAUAAUCAGCAUAUUAUAGAAUAUUUAAUUACAUUUCUCUAGACUGAGCUUUCAUCCUGACCUGUUUUGUAUAGAGCGAGGCUGACAUCCCGAGUGCCCGACGAUCUGUGUGAUGUUCUUGGCUUCGCACCAGGCGCUCUUGUCGGGGAACAGCGCCAGGCGGUUGAUGUGUGCAGGCGCCGCCGCUGAAUGCAGUGCAAACAGUGUGCAGCAAAUCUGAAUCCUCUGCCACAUGACUGCACCUACAGGAGAAGGAAAAUCACAGUGUGUUGCUGCUCUGAUGACUGUUGGAGAGAAAAGCCACCUGAUUUCUGCAGGUCAGACACCCUCAGCUUCAACAUCCACACGUAGUUUGAGUUUUGCAUAUUCUGCUGUAAAAGUCUGACAUCUUUUGUGUGAUUAUCGACUCGUCUGAUGUAAUCCAUCGGUCGGGACCAGCUCUUUUGAAUCAAUUAAAGAGACUUUUAAAUACCUUCAUUUAAGAUCAACACACACACACACACACACACACACACACACACACACACACACACACACACACACACACACACACAGAAAAUACACCAAAGCUGAGAGGAGAACUUGAACUUCCUGACUUAAUCGGUCUGUUGACAACUCAGUUUCACUCUCUUCUUUAAAAAUGCCUCAACCACUUACGUCAUUUACAACCUGCAAAUUCAUUUUCUCCUGCUGCUUAUAAAAAUUGCUCACUAACACUGGCUGUUUAACACACUUUUUAGCACUUCCAUCUGGCUCUGACUGACACUGUUUAAAAAGAGCGAACACUUGCCUUCAGCUAUAAUUUGCCCAGAUUUAAAACACAAAGGCUCUCUUUGAUGUUUUGUUUUGAAGGGAAAAGGAGUUGUUUUAAUAAAAUGCUUUUUUUUUCAUUCUUUGUUCUGACAAAGUUUCAAAGUCCAGACACAUAUUUUCUCCACAAAGCGUGAACAGCAUUGGCAGAUACUGGUGUUUCUCCAUGGAAGAUGAAGCAGCCUGCCAACUCCAGAGUGAACUUGCAGCCAGGAAAUGGAAAAUGAAGCAAACACGCUCAUGAGAAACAUACAUAAUAAAUUCAGGUGACUUUCAGGUGAAUCUAAGCCCAAUUUUAAGCUACAGAUGCCUGAAGUAUCCCCUGUUAUAUUCAUCUGCACUUCAGAGGCUAGUAUCAAUCUUUGGGAUACAAACAGUGUUAGGCCACGGUUUCAACAGUUAAUGUUUACUUUUAGAGCUUAGUUGGGCUUAACAUGUGUUUGAAUUUGAUCUGCUUGUCCAGCUGCUGCUAACUGGAAGGUGAAAUGUACAAACCCACAACAAAAACAACAAGAUGUUGGCAGGUUUUGUUUUUAUGGAGCUAAAAUACACAAUUAUUAAAGUGGAAUUUGAGAAAAAUCUAAA